CCUACGGGUGGCAGCAGUGGGGAAUAUUGCACAAUGGGGGAAACCCUGAUGCAGCGACGCCGCGUGAGUGAAGAAGUAUUUCGGUACGUAAAGCUCUAUCAGCAGGGAAGAAAAUGACGGUACCUGACUAAGAAGCCCCGGCUAACUACGUGCCAGCAGCCGCGGUAAUACGUAGGGGGCAAGCGUUAUCCGGAUUUACUGGGUGUAAAGGGAGCGUAGACGGCAGCGCAAGUCUGGAGUGAAAGCCCAUGGCUUAACCAUGGAACUGCUUUGGAAACUGUGCAGCUAGAGUGCAGGAGAGGUAAGCGGAAUGCCCAGUGUAGCGGUGAAAUGCGUAGAUAUUAGGAGGAACACCAGUGGCGAAGGCGGCUUACUGGACUGUAACUGACGUUGAGGCUCGAAAGCGUGGGGAGCAAACAGGAUUAGAUACCCGGGUAGUC
rnacentral:rRNA from 1 species